UCCGAGUUAACCUCGGCAGUCUCAUUAGAGUUCCCAUCCGAAAUGUUGGCAACUAAUGAUAAGGGUUGCGCUCGUUGCUGGACUUAACCAAACACCUCACGGCACGAGCUGACGACAGCCAUGCAGCACCUGUGCACUGGCCCCGAAGGGAGAUCUCAUUUCUGAGACUGUCCAGUGCAUGUCAAAUCUGGGUAAGGUUCUUCGCGUUGCAUCGAAUUAAACCACAUGCUCCACUGCUUGUGCGGGUCCCCGUCAAUUCUUUUGAGUUUCAGCCUUGCGACUGUACUCCCCAGGCGGUAUACUUAACGCGUUCGCUACGGCACAACCAGGGUUGAGUCCGGUUACACCAAGUAUACAUCGUUUACGGCAAGGACUAC
rnacentral:misc_RNA from 1 species